rnacentral:rRNA from 1 species
AGAGUUUGAUCCUGGCUCAGAUUGAACGCUGGCGGCAUGCCUUACACAUGCAAGUCGAACGGCAGCACGGGGGCAACCCUGGUGGCGAGUGGCGAACGGGUGAGUAAUAUAUCGGAACGUACCCAGUAGUGGGGGAUAACUAUCCGAAAGGAUAGCUAAUACCGCAUACGAUCUGUGGAUGAAAGCAGGGGAUCUUCGGACCUUGUGCUAUUGGAAUGGCCGGUAUCUGAUUAGCUAGUUGGUAGGGUAAAAGCCUACCAAGGCGACGAUCAGUAGCUGGUCUGAGAGGACGACCAGCCACACUGGAACUGAGACACGGUCCAGACUCCUACGGGAGGCAGCAGUGGGGAAUUCUGGACAAUGGGGGCAACCCUGAUCCAGCAAUGCCGCGUGAGUGAAGAAGGCCCUC